CUGAAUAGGGCGCAUAAGUAACAGGUCGUAGACCCGAAACCAGGUGAUCUACCCAUGUCCAGGAUGAAGGUAAGGUAAUACUUACUGGAGGUCCGAACCCACGCACGUUGAAAAGUGCGGGGAUGAGGUGUGGGUAGCGGAGAAAUUCCAAUCGAACUUGGAGAUAGCUGGUUCUCUCCGAAAUAGCUUUAGGGCUAGCCUCGAGGUAAAGAGUCAUGGAGGUAGAGCACUGUUUGGACUAGGGGCCCUUCUCGGGUUACCGAAUUCAGAUAAACUCCGAAUGCCAUGUACUUAUACUCGGGAGUCAGACUGCGAGUGAUAAGAUCCGUAGUCGAAAGGGAAACAGCCCAGACCACCAGUUAAGGUCCCCAAAUAUAUGUUAAGUGGAAAAGGAUGUGGGGUUGCUUAGACAACCAGGAUGUUGGCUUAGAAGCAGCCACCAUUGAAAGAGUGCGUAAUAGCUCACUGGUCGAGUGACCCCGCGCCGAAAAUGUACCGGGGCUAAACAUAUUACCGAAACUGUGGAUGAACCUCUUUAGAGGUUCGUGGUAGGAGAGCGUUCUAAGGGCGGUGAAGUCAGACCGGAAGGACUGGUGGAGCGCUUAGAAGUGAGAAUGCCGGUAUGAGUAGCGAAAGAAGGGUGAGAAUCCCUUCCACCGAAUAUCUAAGGUUUCCUGAGGAAGGCUCGUCCGCUCAGGGUUAGUCGGGACCUAAGCCGAGGCCGAUAGGCGUAGGCGAUGGACAACAGGUAGAGAUUCCUGUACCAGUGCUAAUUGUUUAACCGAUGGGGUGACACAGAAGGAUAGGGAAUCGCACGAAUGGAAAUGUGCGUCCAAGCAGUGAGUGUGAGAAGUAGGCAAAUCCGCUUCUCGCGAAGCAUGAGCUGUGAUGGGGAAGGAAAUUAAGUACGGAAGUUCCUGAUUUCACGCUGUCAAGAAAAGCCUCUAGGAAGAGUAGUACUGCCCGUACCGCAAACCGACACAGGUAGAUGAGGAGAGAAUCCUAAGGUGAGCGAGAGAACUCUCGUUAAGGAACUCGGCAAAAUGACCCCGUAACUUCGGGAGAAGGGGUGCUCUAUUAGGGUGCAAGCCCGAGAGAGCCGCAGUGAAUAGGCCCAGGCGACUGUUUAGCAAAAACACAGGUCUCUGCAAAACCGUAAGGUGACGUAUAGGGGCUGACGCCUGCCCGGUGCUGGAAGGUUAAGAGGAGUGCUUAGCUUCGGCGAAGGUACGAAUUGAAGCCCCAGUAAACGGCGGCCGUAACUAUAACGGUCCUAAGGUAGCGAAAUUCCUUGUCGGGUAAGUUCCGACCCGCACGAAAGGCGCAACGAUCUGGGCACUGUCUCAACGAGAGACUCGGUGAAAUUAUAGUACCUGUGAAGAUGCAGGUUACCCGCGACAGGACGGAAAGACCCCGUGGAGCUUUACUGCAACCUGAUAUGGAAUGUUUGUACCGCUUGUACAGGAUAGGUAGGAGCCGAAGAGACGUGUGCGCUAGCAUACGAGGAGGCAAUGGUGGGAUACUACCCUGGCUGUAUGACCAUUCUAACCCGCCACGCUUAGCGCGUGGGGAGACAGUGUCAGGUGGGCAGUUUGACUGGGGCGGUCGCCUCCUAAAGAGUAACGGAGGCGCCCAAAGGUUCCCUCAGAAUGGAUGGAAAUCAUUCGCAGAGUGUAAAGGCACAAGGGAGCUUGACUGCGAGACUGACAAGUCGAGCAGGGACGAAAGUCGGGCUUAGUGAUCCGGUGGUUCCGCAUGGAAGGGCCAUCGCUCAACGGAUAAAAGCUACCCCGGGGAUAACAGGCUUAUCUCCCCCAAGAGUCCACAUCGACGGGGAGGUUUGGCACCUCGAUGUCGGCUCGUCGCAUCCUGGGGCUGUAGUCGGUCCCAAGGGUUGGGCUGUUCGCCCAUUAAAGCGGCACGCGAGCUGGGUUCAGAACGUCGUGAGACAGUUCGGUC
rnacentral:rRNA from 1 species